UUGAAUUGCAGGACAGAUAUAGUUAAUGCUUCUUCCCUAGCCUAUCUUUGCUUAAUGCAGGUGUGUAAACACAUAACAUUGAUGCGGCUUCCGCAUAAGAAGCUGGGACAUCCAUUUUCAGGGCAGCUAGAUCUUUGAUUUUUUUUUACUUGUUCACAUGCGGCGUAAAGCAACUUGAAUUGAAACUGGAAUUGAGAGACAAUCCACAUCAAAAAAAAAGGCACUUUUAUCUGAAAUCUGUUGAACAAAAGUUAUUUGAGCUGCUGCAUUUCAAAAUUAAGAAGGUCAAUAAAAUGUAAUGGACCGUCUUCUGUUUACUCAUGUUCAGGAAGAGGAUGCCAAUUGUCAGGUUCUGCCAACUCCUAAUUGAACAGCUCUUCUGUAAACAAGUCUAAAUGAAUAAAGGAGAAACAAUCAAAC